rnacentral:lncRNA from 1 species
CGCCUUUAGGGGGCGGGGCCGGGGCGGGGCCGGUGGCCACGGGGGCGACGUCACUGGCCACGGAGGGGGCGGGGGUGGCCCCAGUAGCUCCAGAGUUGAUACUGGGGACACUGGUGGCCACUUUGGGGACGGUGGUGGCCACAUCGGAGACGGUGGUGGCCACUUUGGGGUCGUUGGUGGCCACUUUGGGGACGUUGGUGGCCACAUUGGGGACGUUGGUGGCCACGGCGGUGGCCCCAGUAGCUCCAGCGUUGAUACUGGUGACACUGGUGGCCACAGCGCGGACGGUGGUGGCCACAGCAGGGAGGUUGGUGGCCACAGCGGGGACGUUGGUGGCCACGGAGGUGGCACCGGUAGCUCCAGCGUUGAUACUGGUGACACUGGUGGCCACGGUGGGGACGCUGGUGGCCACCGCAGAGAGGUUGGUGGCCCUGGGGCCACUGGUCAAACUGGUGGCCACGGUGGGGACGUUGGUGGCCUUGGGAGCGACGGCGACGCUGGUGGCCACUGGGGUGACGCUGGUGGCCACGGUGGCUGCAGGGGUGGCCUUGGGAGCGCUGGUGGCCACGGAGGGGACACUGGUGGCCACGGGGGUGACGGUGACACCGGCCGGAGCGGUGGCCUUAACGCUGGUGGCCACGGAGGGGACACUGGUGGCCACAGCGCGGACGGUGGUGGCCACAGCAGGGAGGUUGGUGGCCACAGCGGGGACGUUGGUGGCCACGGAGGUGGCACCGGUAGCUCCAGCGUUGAUACUGGUGACACUGGUGGCCACGGUGGGGACGCUGGUGGCCACCGCAGAGAGGUUGGUGGCCCUGGGGCCACUGGUCAAACUGGUGGCCACGGUGGGGACGUUGGUGGCCUUGGGAGCGACGGCGACGCUGGUGGCCACUGGGGUGACGCUGGUGGCCACGGUGGCUGCAGGGGUGGCCUU